GCGCGGGUGGCGGAACCGGUAGACGCGCCAGCUUGAGGGGCUGGUGGAAGCAAUUCCUUGGAGGUUCGAGUCCUCUCCCGCGCA
rnacentral:tRNA from 1 species